rnacentral:rRNA from 1 species
GAAGUAAAAGUCGUAACAAGGUUUCCGUAGGUGAACCUGCGGAAGGAUCAUUACCUAGAGUUGCGGGCUUUGCCUGCCAUCUCUUACCCAUGUCUUUUGAGUACCUUACGUUUCCUCGGCGGGUCCGCCCGCCGAUUGGACAAUUUAAACCAUUUGCAGUUGCAAUCAGCGUCUGAAAAAAACUUAAUAGUUACAACUUUCAACAACGGAUCUCUUGGUUCUGGCAUCGAUGAAGAACGCAGCGAAAUGCGAUAAGUAGUGUGAAUUGCAGAAUUCAGUGAAUCAUCGAAUCUUUGAACGCACAUUGCGCCCCUUGGUAUUCCAUGGGGCAUGCCUGUUCGAGCGUCAUUUGUACCUUCAAGCUCUGCUUGGUGUUGGGUGUUUGUCUCGCCUCCGCGCGCAGACUCGCCUCAAAACAAUUGGCAGCCGGCGUAUUGAUUUCGGAGCGCAGUACAUCUCGCGCUUUGCACUCACAACGACGACGUCCAAAAGUACAUUUUUUACACUCUUGACCUCGGAUCAGGUAGGGAUACCCGCUGAACUUAAGCAUA